UUGACCUCGGAUCAGGUAGGACUACCCGCUGAACUUAAGCAUAUCAAUAAGCGGAGGAAAAGAAACCAACAGGGAUUGCCCCAGUAACGGCGAGUGAAGCGGCAACAGCUCAGAUUUGGAAUCUGGCCCCCAGGGCCCGAGUUGUAAUCUGGAGAGGAUGCUUCUGGCGCGGCGCCUUCCGAGUUCCCUGGAACGGGACGCCGGAGAGGGUGAGAGCCCCGUACGGUUGGACGCCUAGCCUUUGUGAAGCUCCUUCGACGAGUCGAGUAGUUUGGGAAUGCUGCUCAAAAUGGGAGGUAAAUUUCUUCUAAAGCUAAAUACCGGCCAGAGACCGAUAGCGCACAAGUAGAGUGAUCGAAAGAUGAAAAGCACUUUGAAAAGAGGGUCAAACAGUACGUGAAAUUGUUGAAAGGGAAGCGCCCGUGGCCAGACUUGUGCCCCGCGGACCACCCGGCGCCCUCAGCGCCGGUGCACUCCGCGGGGCGCAGGCCAGCAUCGGUUUUCCUAGGGGGAUAAAGGCGGCGGGAACGUGGCUCCUUCGGGAGUGUUAUAGCCCGUCGUGCCAUGCCCCUGGGGGGACCGAGGACCGCGCUUCGGCAAGGAUGCUGGCG
rnacentral:rRNA from 1 species